rnacentral:rRNA from 1 species
CAGCAGCCGCGGUAAUACAGAGGCGGCAAGCGUUGUUCGGAAUUAUUGGGCGUAAAGAGCACGUAGGCGGCCUUGCAAGUCAGUUGUGAAAGCCUUCCGCUUAACGGAAGAACGGCAUCUGAUACUACAGGGCUUGAGUACGGGAGGGGAGAGUGGAACUUCUGGUGGAGCGGUGAAAUGCGUAGAUAUCAGAAGGAACGCCGGCGGCGAAAGCGACUCUCUGGUCCGAAACUGACGCUGAGUGUGCGAAAGCUAGGGGAGCAAACGGG